AUGGAAAUUGGGAGGCCACCACUGGAAUCAUUGAUCUCAAAAGCUCACCUCGUAGCUGUAUCCCAAAGCAACGUAAUACAGAAAAACACCAUUUCCUAUGCCCGUCUUUCCCAACAGCAGCAGCUGAAGCAGGAGGGAAACGAUCGUCUCCACUUCACUUCCUCCUGCUACACCUCAGAUAAGUACUGCUGACGGGUGGAAUCGAAUUCACAGCAAGAAUCCUAGCUUCAAGAGAGUCCAGGAAAUAUUUCUCAUCAAGUACUCUGCAGCACUGCAACCAAACUAGAAGAAGGCUGCAAUGAACGCUAAGAGCCAAUCCAACUGUAAGAAAACUGAAGCUCAGAGGGG
rnacentral:lncRNA from 10 species